UUCACCUGGGGAGCCUAGUCAAGUGCAGGUCCUGAAGGUCUGGGAUGGCUCUCAUGCGAGUCCAGCCAGACCACACUGAGUUGUGAGACUCUAGACCAGUGCUGUCAAAGCCAAAUGCAAUGAGAGGGAGGCAGAGGAAGAUUUGACACAUACUGAAGAGGAGCAGGCAACACAACUGUAGAGGCAGAGGAUGCAGCCACAAGCCAAGGAAUGCUGCCAGCCACCAGAAGUCAGAAGAGGCAAGGAAGGAUUUGCUCCUGAGCCUCCAGAGAAAGUGCAGUCCUGCUGAUACCUUGAUUUUGGACCAAGGAAACAGAUUUUAGACUCUUGACCUCCAGAAUUCUGGGAGAAUAAAUUUCUGUUGUUUUGA